AAUGUGAAAAAAAAAUUCAAAUGAGGCAUGCAGAAUCAAGUGUUUCUGUUUAUACACCAGUUGUGUCUCUGAAAGAGGAUGUUGAAGUAUCUCCUGUAGACAUUGAAAAAUUGAAUCUUUAUGAAAGUACUGAAACUGAAAGUGAAUCUGAAGGAGAGUUACCAUCUGUAGAUGAUUGUGUAAAAUGUUUAUGCGAAGAUGAUUGUGAACUUGGUUUUAUG
rnacentral:lncRNA from 1 species